rnacentral:rRNA from 1 species
UACAGAGGUCCCAAGCGUUGUUCGGAUUCACUGGGCGUAAAGGGUGCGUAGGCGGUCGGGUAAGUCUGGCGUGAAAUCUCCAAGCCUAACUUGGAAACUGCGUUGGAUACUAUCCGGCUCGAGGAAUGGAGGGGGACUGGAAUACUUGGUGUAGCAGUGAAAUGCGUAGAUAUCAAGUGGAACACCAGUGGCGAAGGCGAGUCUCUGGACAUUUCCUGACGCUGAGGCACGAAAGCCAGGGGAGCAAACGGG